rfam:Ixodes scapularis strain Wikel colony gcontig_1108378636422, whole genome shotgun sequence.
GUCAGGAUGGCCGAGUGGUCUAAGGCGCCAGACUCAAGGUAGCUUCGUGCCUUGCCCUGAUAUCAGGGUUUGGGAUUUCUGGUCCACGAAUGUGGGCGUGGGUUCGAAUCCCACUUCUGACA